rnacentral:rRNA from 1 species
GACGAACGCUGGCGGCGUGCUUAACACAUGCAAGUCGAACGGAAAGGCCCUGCUUUUGUGGGGUGCUCGAGUGGCGAACGGGUGAGUAACACGUGAGUAACCUGCCCUUGACUUUGGGAUAACUUCAGGAAACUGGGGCUAAUACCGGAUAGGAGCUCCUGCUGCAUGGUGGGGGUUGGAAAGUUUCGGCGGUUGGGGAUGGACUCGCGGCUUAUCAGCUUGUUGGUGGGGUAGUGGCUUACCAAGGCUUUGACGGGUAGCCGGCCUGAGAGGGUGACCGGCGACAUAGGGACUGGGAUCCGGCCCAGACUCCUACGGGAGGCAGCAGUGGGGAAUGUUGCACACUGGGCGGAAGCCUGAUGCAGCAACGCCGCGUGCGGGGUGACGGCCUUCGGGUUGUAGCCCGCUUUCGCCUGUGACGAAGCGUGAGUGACGGUAAUGGGUAAAGAAGCACCGGCUAACUACGUA